rnacentral:lncRNA from 1 species
CUGCCACGUGGCAAAACCACGUCGACCGGGGACGGGCCACGUUGGCGAUCCGCGUACGCGCGAUCGGACGGCCCAGAUCAAGCGUGCGUACGGACGGCCCAGAUUAAAUCAAAAUGGAUGGCUGAGAUCAAAAGGCAAAAGGGUAUAAAUAGAACCUCCACACCUGACCACAAAAACCCUAGCCGCCUGCCCUCGCCGGAGAAGACAAACCAGACGCCAGAGACGCCGGCCGCCGCCACCCGCCGCCGCACCGGGGAGAUUUUCGACCGCUGAUCGAGGUAAAUUUCAUACCCCCGACUCGUUUUUCCACGCUGAUUUCCCCUGUGGCCAAAUCGGAGCCAAAAUCCCAGCCAAAUGGCCGGAAAACACUGCCGAAACCCAGCGGCACCGCCGCGCCCCUCCUCGGUUUUUGCCUCCGAUGAGGCCCUUCCCGGCCUCCGUUUGAUGCAAUUUUUAUAUCACCGUGAUCACCAUUCUUUUCUCUACAGGAUAAUCAGAGCCGAAUCACCAAAACACGAACCUCACCGGAGAGCCGCCACACCCGAGAGCACCGCCGCCGGUAAGCUUCAGUUUUCCGUAAUUUUUUGGCCCCCCGAGGGCCUUAGGGUUGUUUUAUCGCAGGGACCGAUGCAAGUGUGGCCGAAUUCGGCCAGAAACGGCCGAAAACGGCCAAAUCAAGGCGAAUCGCCGCAAUAUGCGGCAGCGCUGUCGCCGGAGCACGGUGGAGCUGCCGUGCCGGAAUUGCGAUAUUGGCCAAAAAGGGGCCCUGGGCCUAAUUUGGGAUUUUUUGGAAUACGUGCAGGUACCAGUAGUGCAUUUCAGUUGCCCGGGAAAAAUUCAGAAAAAAUUAGGGACAGCCUGUAGGCGCACUGUGAAGUCGUGUUCGGACCUCGAAACGAGUAAGGACCCCUCACCCUAUUUCCUAUCACGGUAUUAAAGUUCAAUAAUGAUAAAACGGUAUUUCUUGAAUCAACGAAUGUGUGAAAUUGCUUAAGGUCACUAAUGGAGCCCGAGUCUAGUGUGUUUGUCAGUUAACUGUUAUUUGGCCUAUUUUACAGUUUCAAAUGCAGUAUGAGGUUUGAUGUUUUCAUUUUAUAGUUUUGUGUGCAUAUUUUACUGUUUUAUUGAUUAUGGAUUGAAUGACUGAGAUACUGAUGCUGUAUGUUGCUUGUUUGGCAUAAAUUACUGUUUUGCUUGUUUGUAUGUGAAUUGAUGAUGUUGACUGAGGAAAAGGAGAAUGAAAGAUUAUGAAAAUUGGUAAUUGUAUAAUGUGGUCAGCCUGACUAGAUAUCCUGGGAGAUGGUGGACGGACCGGGUCCGUAGGGAACCCUACCGGGAUUGUGGUCUCUCAUACCGGACGGGGUAUGAAGACCUUAUGUGUUUUGGCGCCCAUACCGGACGGGGUAUGGGGACGUCCCAUUUCACCCUCAUACCAGACGGGGUAAUGGGGUUUAUAGUUUUAGUGCCCAUACCGGACGGGGUAUUGGGACGGCCCUGGAAUCUGAUUUCAAGUGUUAAGGGUUAACGGGUAGCGGGACCCCUAUGGAUCCCCAUGGAUACUAGUGGGCUGGUAAAUGAGGAAAAUAUGUUGUGUAAUGAUUGAAUUACAAAAGGCGUAAUAAGUGUUAUGUUAUACAGUUUAUAUAUGAUUUCAUGAUGAUGAUAAUGUUAUUGCUUUCGUAUACUGUUUUAUGAAUUUCAUCGAGGUAAGUGGAUGGUGAAGGAUUUAUUAUUGAUAAAAGAAUUUGUUGUAAAUUAUGCUCCAUUGGUCUUUUUGUGUUUUCUACCCACCUUUACCUCCGUGACGGUGAGAUAUCGUGAUGUCCUUACUGGGCUAGUGUAGCUCAUUCCUUAUUUAAUCAUUUCAGAUCAAGAAGACAUUGUUCCCGAGCCCGUUCCGCAGGAGGACGACGAAGGGGACGCCUAAAGACUCCAUAGUCAUAUUCGUAGCUUUUACUUUCGAGUUUCUCCUUUAGGUAGUUUGAUCUUUUAUAUUUUGUGAGCACGUUUUUGGUUUUAGUGUAAGGGAUGUUAAUCGAAUUUUUUGACUUCGUUUCCGAAUUUGAUAUUUUUAAUACACAUUUCAUUUUGAAUUUACGGGGCCGUUACAGUUGGUAUCAGAGCCGCAUUUCCUCGGACCCAUCCCUUACACAAUAGUGCCUUAGAGUAAUACUCACCGAUAUAUCGUUACUCAAUCAUUCCUUGUGAAUGCAGGUACACGGGAAUGAAGAGAGGACGGCCCCCACUAAACCGAGCGGCCCAAGAUAAUUCACUUCGGGAGGAUUUAGACAGACUAUUUGAGAUGGUGGAGGCUCUCGUAGCUGCCCAGUGAAGGCAAGAGGAGAGAAGGGAGUUACCCGGACCUCCUCCGCUAGCGCAGGUUGAGCCCCCGCUACAGCAGGCUGAUCCCGAGCCACCCCGGCAGGAGCCUGUUCUUCCACUGUACCACCCGGCACCACAGCCGCGGUACGACCAGGUACCACAGCCACGGUACCAGCAGGCGCCGCCACAGCACAUUCCAGUACCCCCACCACAUCAGCAGGUGCCACCACAGGGUCCCCCAGUUCACCCUCAGCCGGCCCCAGUCCCUCUACCUCGGGACCCCGCUCCUUCCUUGAUCGACCCCGGCUUCAUAGAGAGGUACAGAAGACUGAACCCUUCUACUUUUGCAGGGGGAUCCUCUUUUGAAGAUGCCCAAUACUAGCUGGCAGAGACUGAGAGAGCUUUCAAGACCUUGGGAGUAGUUCCUGAGCAGAGGGCUGCCAUUGCCUCCUACAUGCUGGUAGGGGAAGCAGUACGCUGGUGGGAGCUCAAGCAGGCCACCCUGCCUACACCAGCUACUUGGGAGCAGUUUCUAGCGGCCUUCCAUGCGGAGUAUCUCCCUAAACACAUCCAAUAUCUAAAGAAAAUUGAGUUUGCUCAAUUGGUCCAGGGAAAUAUGACAAUGUCAGAGUAUGCCCGUAAGUUCCUGGAGCUGGGCCGACAUGCCCCGGAGACAUUGAUGGAUGAGGGCCGAAAGGCCAGGAAAUUCCAGUGGGGUCUUCGCCCGAAGAUCAGACAGCACUUACUGGUGAUGGAGCUCGAGACAUAUUCGGCAGUCCUAGCAAAGGCGCAGAUCGUAGAAAGGAGCUUCGACACCCGCCCUCAGCUAGCGGGAAGUUCCCGACCCUCAGCCCCGCUUCGCAGGCCAGCACCUACCAUGCCUGUCCAACCCAGUAAGAGGCCCAGACCCGCCGUCCAGGCCCCUCCUCAGGCUACGGGGGCAGCACGUGGGAAGAUCUGCCAGUAUUGCGGCAGGGAUCACGGGGACCGACCCUGCUACCGCCUCAACAACACCUGUCGCAUAUGCGGCAGUGCCCAGCACUAUGCAAGGGAAUGCCCUAGGAACCAGAAUCAAGGAAGGCCUCCAAUCCAGGGCAGAGUUUACAACCUUACCCAGAAGGAUGCCGACGCAGACCCGGACGUGGUACAUGGUAUGUAUACUAUCUCUGGCCACAUUGCUCAUGUUUUGUUUGAUACUGGUGCAUCACAUUCUUUUAUUUCACAUGUUCUUGCUUCCGAAAUUUGUGUAUCACCUGAUAGACUUGAUUCAUUAUUGCUUGUAUCUACCGCUGGGGGGGAGACAUUGCUAGGAGAGGUUGUCUACAGGCCAUGUGUCGUGGAGAUAGCAGAUAGGAAAUUGAGGGUAGACCUGAUAGGGUUAGACACGGGGGAUUUUGAUGUAAUCUUAGGAAUGGAUUGGCUAGCGGCGUAUCACGCCACCAUAGACUACUUUAACAAAAAGAUUGUAUUUAAUCCUCCCAACGAGGAGCCAUUUACAAGUUAAUAAAAUUAUUCAGUACUGAUUUGCCCUAAUGGCAAGUUUUCUUAAUUCCCAGUGCCUUAAUCUUGUAUUUUCUCUAACUAGGUAAACCCAAGAAAGAAGUUUGUAUCCAAGAGAUUCCAGUAGUCCGAGACUUUUCAAACGUAUUUUCGGAUGAACUGCCCGGUCUACCAGCGGACAGAGAGGUCGAGUUCACCAUAGACUUACAGCUAGGAACCCAGCCCAUCUCGGUAGCUCCUUACCGAAUGAGCCGCAUCGAGAUGGAAGAACUAAGGAAACAGAUCACUGAGCUACAAGACAGUGGUUUCAUUAGACACAGCGUUUCCCCAUGGGGUGCCGGGGUUACUUUUGUAAGGAAGGGAGAUGGAACGUUGAGACUGUGCAUUGAUUACAGAAGGAUAAAUAAGGUAACAAUUAAGAACAAAUACCCUCUUCCCCGGAUUGAUGACCUUUUCGAUCAGUUACAGGGUGCACAGGUCUUUUCUAAAAUAGAUCUACGAUCAAGUUACCAUCAGGUAAAGGUGAGAGCAGAAGACAUCCCCAAGACGGCAUUCUGAACCAGGUACGGACACUAUGAGUUCCUGGUUUAUGCCGUUUGGGCUAACCAACGCCCUGGCUAUCUUUAUGGAUCUAAUGAACAGGAUCUUCAGAGAGUUCUUGGAUCAAUUUUUCAUCGUGUUCAUCGAUGAUAUCUUAGUCUGCUCAAAAAGUAGAGAAGAACAUGCUCAUCAGCUUGCCCAAGUCCUACAGGUACUCAGGGAAAAGAAGUUGUAUGCAAAGUUGAGCAAGUGUGGAUUUUGGCUCGAGCAAACCGCCUUCCUAGGACAUGUUAUAUCGAAGGAAGGGGUGUCAGUGAACCCCGAAAAGGUUGAAGCAGUACUUGGUUGGGAAAGGCUGACAACAGUUAAGGAGAUUCGCAAUUUCCUAGGGAUGGCGGGUUACUACCGCCGGUUUGUCGAAGGGUUCUCUAGUCUAGCAGCUCCUCUAACCCGACUCACAAAGAAGAAUGCAAAGUUUGAAUGGAAUGAGAACUGAAAAAGGAGUUUGUCAGAAUUGAAGAAGCGACUGACUACUGCACCCGUGCUGGCUCUACCGAGUGGAUCAGGAAGGUAUACAGUUUAUAGUGAUGCCUCCUAUCUGGGCCUGGGUUGUGUCCUGAUGCAGCAUGGAAAGGUUAUAGCAUAUGGGUCUAGACAGCUAAAGAAUCAUGAGAAGAACUAUCCUACCCAUGACUUGGAGCUUACCGCAAUCAUACACGCCUUGAAAACCUGGCGCCAUUAUUUGUAUGGAGAGACCUUUCAGAUCUACACCGAUCAUAAGAGUUUGAAGCACAUCUUCACUCAGAAGGAUCUCAACAUGCAUCAGAGAAGGUGGAUGGAACUCCUCAAGGACUAUGAUUGUGACAUCCUAUACCAUCCAGGUAAGGGCAACGUAGUAGCCGAUGCCCUCAGCAGGAAAAGUGCAGGCACCCUAGCCCAUUUGAUGGUUUCAGAAUGCAGGUCCAUUGGGGCCACGCAGCAGGUUCGACUGCGAGAUCUGAAGAGGGCCACAUGUUUGGCCCACCUAGCAGUCCAACCCGAGUUAAUCCAAAGAAUAAAGGAAGCCCAGUCAGUCGACCCUGCCCUAGUAACCCGCAAGAAGGAUGCAGAACAGGGAGUGAGCUCAGAAUUUCAUAUCUCUGCCGACGGAUUGAUUCGUUUCAAGGACAGAGUGUGUGUCCCCGACGACAGUGAGUUAAAAAGAGACAUCAUGACAAAGUCCCAUAGUUCAAGGUUUGCCAUGCAUCUAGGAAGUACAAAAAUGUACCAAACUAUGCGACCUCGGUUCUGGUGGAAUGGGAUGAAGAGAGAUAUAGCCGACUUUGUAUCUAAGUGCUUGGUAUGUCAGCAGGUCAAAGCAGAACAUCAACGCCCAGGUGGGUUACUUCAGCCUUUACCGAUUCCAGAGUGGAAGUGGGAACACAUCACCAUGGACUUUGUAUCGGGACUACCCAAGGCACGAUCGGGACAUGAUGCUAUAUGGGUAAUUGUUGACCGACUCACUAAGUCUUCCCACUUCCUGGCCAUCAGAAUGAUUGAUUCUUUGGACAAGUUGGCAAGAAUAUAUAUCCGGAAGAUAGUCAGACUGCAUGGAGUCCCAGUAACAGUGGUAUCCGAUAGGGAUCCCAGAUUCACUUCUCGGUUUUGGAAUAGUUUCCAGCAAGCUAUGGGAACAAAGUUGUCUCUUAGUACAGCCUUCCACCCCCAAACUGAUGGACAAUCAGAGAGGACAAUUCGUACGCUUGAGGAUAUGCUCUGAGCUUGUGUCCUUGACUCCGGGGGCCAUUGGGACUACCAUCUACCCCUGAUAGAGUUUGCCUACAACAACAGCUACCAAGCAAGCAUCGGCAUGGCCCCAUACGAGGCGCUAUAGGGGCAUCCGUGCAGGUCACCGAUUUGUUGGGAGGAAGUGGGCGAUAGAAGAUUGUUUGGCCCGGAUUUGGUAGAAGAGACCACGUCCAAGAUAGUUAAAAUCAAGAAGAACAUUCAGACAGCUCAGAGUAGGCAGAAGAGUUAUGCUGAUACCCGGAGGAGAGACCUGGUUUUUGAGACAGGCGACCGGGUGUUUCUUAAGGUCACCCCCUUCAAGGGAAUUAGUAGGUUCGGCAGGAGGGGAAAAUUAAACCCCAGAUAUAUUGAACCCUUUGAAAUCUUAGACAAGAUUGGUACCACUGCCUACAGACUUGCACUGCCUCCGGAGCUCUCCCGGGUUCAUAAUGUGUUUCAUGUAUCUAUGCUACGUAAGUACAACCCGGACCCUUCUCAUGUCUUGGCUCAUGAACUGCUUCCACUCCAAGAGGAUUUGUCUUAUGAAGAAGUACCGGUCGAUAUCACGGACCGAGAGAGCAGAAUACUCCGCAACUGGGAAAUAUCAUUUGUAAAAGUCGUGUGGCAGAACCACACGCCCAGGGAGGCUACUUGGGAACUGGAAUCAGAAUUUAGGGUCCAAUAUCCCCAUCUGUUCGAUCAAGAGUAAUGAGUCAAAUUUGGGGACCAAAUUUCUUUAAAGGGGGGAGAGUUGUAACGCCCGGAAAUUUGAAAAAAAAUUUAUUAUUUUAUUAUUAAUUAUUUUAAUUAGGUUUUUAAAAAAACAAACGCCACGUCAGCAGCCACGUCAGCAGACCCAGUCAGUAAUCCUAACCAACCAGGACCUGCCACGUGGCAAAACCACGUCGACCGGGGACGGGCCACGUUGGCGAUCCGCGUACGCGCGAUCGGACAACCCAGAUCAAGCACGCGUACGGACGGCCAAGAUGCAAUCGCACGAACGGCCCAGAUUCAAUCAAAAACGGACGGCCCAGAUUAAAUCAAAAUGGACGGCUGAGAUCAAAAGGCAAAAAGGUAUAAAUAGAACCCCCACACCUGACCACAAAAACCCUAGCCGCUUGCCCUCGCCGGAGAAGACUAACCAGACGCCGGCCGCCGCCGGCCACCACCACCUGCCGCCGCACCGGGGAGAUUUUCGACCGCUGAUCGAGGUAAAUUUCAUACCCCCGACUCGUUUUUCCACGCUGAUUUC